rnacentral:lncRNA from 7 species
UAGACAUGAACUUGUAAUAUGUUAUUGGCUAGGCAUGAACUUAUGAGUGGUGACUGAUGCGUGAGGUGUGCCUAUGUGUUUGGUCUGUACUUAGUGACCAGUGCACAACAAGUCAUCUGUCAGCAACACAAACAAUAUGAAUUUAGUAUGAAUUAACUAUGCUUACAAGCUUAUUAUCCUUUGAUCUUUAUUGGUUGUAAGUACAAAGUACUAUGUAAUU